rnacentral:rRNA from 1 species
AGCUUCAAACUGGGAUUAGAUACCCCACUAUUCUUGGGCACAAAUGUAACUCGAGCUUACCAAAGAACUAUGAAUACUAAGUUUAAAACUCAAAGGGCUUGGCGGUGUUUCAGACCACUUAGGGGAACCUGUCUCAUAAUCGAUAAUCCACGAUACACCUAACCUCUUUUUGCUUCCCAGUUUGUAUACCGUCGUCGUCAGGUAACUUUUAAGAAAUCGGGGGUUAGCUAAAACGUUAAAUGUAAACUUAAACGUCAGGUCAAGGUGCAGCCAAUAAGGAGGUGAAGAUGGGUUACAAUUAUUUUACUUAUAAUACGGAAAAGCUUGUAUUGAACAAAUAGCUAAGAAGGAGGACUUAAAAGUAAAAUUAAUUAUACAAAUAUAUUGAAUUGGGCUCUGAGACGUGCACACACCGCCCGUCACCCUCUGCAGUCAAAAA